rnacentral:lncRNA from 1 species
AAAACAUAUACUUAAACGCAAAACAUUUCUUAUUUUUUCAUCAAUUUAACAGCCAAAUUCAGAAAUGAUAGAACUAACAGCAGUAGGAGGAUUUUAUGAAUGCCCUUCAGUAUACGGAUUAGUUCAGUAUAUGCAUUAAGUUCCUUCACAUCCACCUGGUUUUGAAUGUCAGAUUCAUUUGGGGUGUUGGCUACUGUCACCC